rnacentral:rRNA from 1 species
CCUACGGGGGGCAGCAGUGGGGAAUAUUGGACAAUGGGGGGAACCCUGAUCCAGCCAUGCCGCGUGUGUGAAGAAGGCCCUCGGGUUGUAAAGCACUUUCAGUGAGGAAGAAUGCCUGGUGGUUAAUACCCAUCAGGAAAGACAUCACUCACAGAAGAAGCACCGGCUAACUCCGUGCCAGCAGCCGCGGUAAUACGGAGGGUGCGAGCGUUAAUCGGAAUUACUGGGCGUAAAGCGCGCGUAGGUGGCUUGAUAAGCCGGUUGUGAAAGCCCCGGGCUCAACCUGGGAACGGCAUCCGGAACUGUCAAGCUAGAGUGCAGGAGAGGAAGGUAGAAUUCCCGGUGUAGCGGUGAAAUGCGUAGAGAUCGGGAGGAAUACCAGUGGCGAAGGCGGCCUUCUGGACUGACACUGACACUGAGGUGCGAAAGCGUGGGUAGCAAACAGGAUUAGAUACCCUUGUUGUC